rnacentral:rRNA from 1 species
GACGAACGCUGGCGGCGCGCCUAACACAUGCAAGUCGAACGAGCGAGAGAGAGCUUGCUUUCUCAAGCGAGUGGCGAACGGGUGAGUAACGCGUGAGGAACCUGCCUCAAAGAGGGGGACAACAGUUGGAAACGACUGCUAAUACCGCAUAAGCCCACGGGUCGGCAUCGACCAGAGGGAAAAGGAGCAAUCCGCUUUGAGAUGGCCUCGCGUCCGAUUAGCUAGUUGGUGAGGUAAUGGCCCACCAAGGCGACGAUCGGUAGCCGGACUGAGAGGUUGAACGGCCACAUUGGGACUGAGACACGGCCCAGACUCCUACGGGAGGCAGCAGUGGGGAAUAUUGCACAAUGGGGGAAACCCUGAUGCAGCGACGCCGCGUGGAGGAAGAAGGCUUUCGGGUUGUAAACUUCUUUUAAAGAGGGAAGAGCAGAAGACUGUACCUCUAGAAUAAGCCACGGCUAACUACGUGCCAGCAGCCGCGGU